UCCUCUCUCAAUAUCUGUGUGAUCCGUAACCAUAUGUCUGACGCCAUAUAACCGUAAGUACAAUGUGUUGAGUGCGUCGUUAAAUGAAACAUUUCCUUCCUUCCAAAGGAGGUGUCACGGGACUCGCAUGGGAUGAAACGGUGAAAAUAAUUGCUUCGUGGAAUAUAACAAUUUAAAGGCCAUAAUCUGUAUUGAAGAAAGCGUGUUCAACAACAAAUAUAAAAAAAAAGUCAACAUAAAAAUAAUUAUAAACGAUAAAUACGCGUGAUUGUAGUGCUGUUCAGGUUUUCCUUUUUAAAACAAGACUAUAUUAAAACAACAGAGAACUAUAUAUUGUUUUACCACUAGUAAUGAUAAAUGGUCAAAAUGUCUUUUAAACCCACUAUAUAAUAAUAUUAUAUGCAGUUUAAAAACUACAACCUGAACUUGGGAGAUAUUGGGAAUAGGUGGGUGUUAGGGGACAAUUUACGGAUCUAUACAAUUAAUCUCACUUACCUUUACAACUUCUUGCAUAACACAAUUUUCUUGUUGUUAAACUUACUGCUGGUGGAAGAAACAAACACUACAUUAAUCAACCAUACAUACAUACGUCAUCGUGGUCAGACCAUUCGUUACAUCUGACCGCUGUCCAUCUACGGACCCAUUGUUCACAUCUCGUAAGAUGACGUCAGAUCGGACAUCUCAUUUGUCACCAGCUAUCGGAUUCCAGCUAUAAAAGACUCCACCUUUCAGUCCAAGACCACAACUGACGUCUGCCAGCUCAAGUACACACACAAACUUUCAUAAUGCAGAAACUCGUCUUGACCUUGGUCGUUGUGUUGGCACUGAUCCAGUUAUCUUUUGCUAGAGGAUUGUGGGGCGGUGGAUGGGGCGGUGGAUGGGGCGGAGGAUGGGGUGGAGGAUGGGGUGGAGGAUGGGGAGGAGGAUGGGGUGGAGGAUUAGGUGGCAUUGGUGCUCUGGGAUUUCUGGGAGGUGACGGAUUCGAAUUAGAUUACGCAAGACGUUUCGGUAGACGAGCGGCCGCAUACCCACUCCCAGUGCCAUACCAUGGAUAAGAUUAAAGUGGACUACGAAUUUUGUACAAGACAUUAUGAAAAGGCACACGUUGUUCCUGUUGUUGUGGACGUAUUGGUGUUGUGGACGUAUUGUAAUAAAUGAGCCAUAUCUACAUAA